ensembl:lncRNA
GGGGGGGUUACAUCAGAUCGGGCGGGCCUGUGCCCGUAUGGCCCGUCCGCCGCCUAUGCCCUUGGCUGGUCCAAAUACAUUUUUUUGAGAUUUAGAGCUUCAGUAGUAAUCAACACCGAAUAUUUGAAGCUUCGGAGGGAGGGGGCUGAACAUAUUCUUCUCUCAACACCGUGUCCACUGGACGCGCCGCGACAAAAUACAAUAGAACCCAUUAUGCAUUUUUAUUAUGUCGAGAACCGUUCAUCGAAUCGACUUCAUGCAUGGCGGGUGUGGUGCUGCGGACCCAAGGGAGUGCAGUGUCACAUUUUGGUGCAAUAUGGACAUACAGCAAGUUCAGAAUUAAUACAUUUUUAAUAAACUACAGAACAGCGAAUAAACAAUAUUAGAAUCUCAGAUUUGACAAUCGAAUGCCAACCCACCGAACGAAUAUUCGAAUAAUCGAUUCGAAUUGUUUGCUGCCCUAUUGUUUACUGCAACUUCCUCAUAUUAGUGUAGCCUAAUUUGAGAGAUUGUAUCCACUUAAUUAUUAUGUCUGGCACUCAUGUGUGCACUUGCUUACUUUGGUAAUUCUUUUCUGCUAUUUGUAUUGUUUUAAGCACUUUUUCCCCAAUCUGCAUAGUGCUAGUUGUCCAAGAAUUAGCUUUUACAAUGAGAAACAGAAAUAGGAAAUGUUUGGGUGUAAUCAUAUCAGUAAAGUUGUUCAGGAAGUCUGAGGAUGUUUGAGGAAUUCUGGGUGUGGUGGGCAAACACAAGGUCACUAUUGGACUUCAGUGCUUUUGGCUGCUGCAUAUUGUUUAAAGAAAAUAGGCUCUGUGUUAAAAGUUGAAGCAUUUUCUUUUAUCUGUGGGACUAUAAAUGUAAAGUAAGUUUGGAAGCUGUUGUGUUUGUAGGGAAUGAAAAAGGAGUGCGCAUUAGGUUGUAGACAACUGAAUGUUAUGAAAAUGAAGGGAAUUGUAUGUAUAUUCUUGACAUGUUCACUCAAAAAUGUUUUUCUGCAGCUGUGAUGUUUCUUGCAGACAUUAAAUAUUGCCAUUGAUAGCAUGAAAGUAUUGCUUACAGUGGUCUCUUUAUUUUUUAUUUAAUGCUAUAAGACAUUCAUUAUUGAGAGGGAGAGGGACAUGACAAACGAGUCACAGCUGUGAACCGGCUGCUUUGAUUCUAGUGUAGUCUGGUUCAUGUCAGUGCAAAAUUGAAUUGUUUAUUAUAUUAUACAAGGGACACUUUGUUGCUUUAAGUUAUAUUUUAUGAUGAAUAUUUUUGUGCACUUUCUGAAUCAUGUUCUCCUACAGCUAAAUGGUCUGUACCCUAAAUAACUCCCAGUGUGUGACUUUUAAGCCUUUAGAUAUGAAAUGAUCUGUUAAGUUGUACUACAGUAUAUUUAUUCUUGUGCAUUACUUAUGUAUUUCCUUUAAAUAAUGAAAAACUAAUACAAUUAUAUUUUUAUAGCACUUGAA